CGAGUUCGCCAGAGUGGUGGGGAAAAGUCUGCAAGAGAAUUUCUUUGAUGAACUUGACCGUUUCUCUCCAAGGCUGAUGGACCUCCUUUAGGAAAAAAGAAAGGCCUGCCCAGCGAGCUUUUGGCUGAGCUUUACGUCAGACAAAGACCACUGAGCCAACACACAUCAGGUGCCUAUGUCUUCGGGGACUGCCUGUCAUCUUGGCGGAUGAUUCUUCUGCCUUCUUCAAGACAUGCUCUGAUGUAACUGACAAGGACUCGUACAGUUAAACUCCAGUGGGAAUUCUCUGCCUGGGUUGAGAAAAUACCCAGCUCAACCCAUUCAGUGUAGGGAUCAUCUUGGAAGGGUCUGUGGUAAUGGAUGAACUGGCCAACCUGCCUCAGGCCUUUUGUGUCCUUUCGUUUCACACACACAGCCGUUUCGGGUUGAUCUAC